GACAGAGGAUGCAGCGUUAUCCGGAAUGAUUGGGCGUAAAGGCGUCUGUAGGUGGCUUUUAAGUCCGCCGUCAAAUCCCAGGGCUCAACCCUGGACAGGCGGUGGAACUACCAAGCUGGAGUACGGUUAGGGCAGAGGAAUUCCGGUGUAGCGGUGAAAUGCGUAGAGAUCGGAAGACACUAGUGGCGAAGGCGGCUACCUGGCCUAAUACUGACACUGAGGCA
rnacentral:rRNA from 1 species